rnacentral:rRNA from 1 species
CCUGCGGCAGCCACCAUGCAGUCGACGCCCCGCAGGGGAGUGGCAGACGGGUGAGUAACGCGUGGGAACAUACCCUUUCCUGCGGAAUAGCUCCGGGAAACUGGAAUUAAUACCGCAUACGCCCUACGGGGGAAAGAUUUAUCGGGGAAGGAUUGGCCCGCGUUGGAUUAGCUAGUUGGUGGGGUAAAGGCCUACCAAGGCGACGAUCCAUAGCUGGUCUGAGAGGAUGAUCAGCCACAUUGGGACUGAGACACGGCCCAAACUCCUACGGGAGGCAGCAGUGGGGAAUAUUGGACAAUGGGCGCAAGCCUGAUCCAGCCAUGCCGCGUGAGUGAUGAAGGCCUUAGGGUUGUAAAGCUCUUUCACCGGAGAAGAUAAUGACGGUAUCCGGAGAAGAAGCCCCGGCUAACUUCGUGCCAGCAGCCGCGGUAAUACGAAGGGGGCUAGCGUUGUUCGGAAUUACUGGGCGUAAAGCGCACGUAGGCGGAUAUUUAAGUCAGGGGUGAAAUCCCAGAGCUCAACUCUGGAACUGCCUUUGAUACUGGGUAUCUUGAGUAUGGAAGAGGUAAGUGGAAUUCCGAGUGUAGAGGUGAAAUUCGUAGAUAUUCGGAGGAACACCAGUGGCGAAGCGGCUUACUGGUCCAUUACUGACGCUGAGGUGCGAAAGCGUGGGGAGCAAACAGGAUUAGAUACCCUGGUAGUCCACGCCGUAACGAUGAUGUUAGCCGUCGGGCAGUAUACUGUUCGGUGGCGCAGCUAACGCAUUAAACAUUCCGCCUGGGGAGUACGGUCGCAAGAUUAAAACUCAAAGGAUUUGACGGGGGCCCGCACAAGCGGUGGAGCAUGUGGUUUAAUUCCGAAGCACGCGCAGAUCCUUACCAGCUCUGACAUUCCGGGGUAUGGGCAUUGGAGACGAUGUCCUUCAGUAGCUGCCCCAGAACAGGGCUGCAUGCUGCCGUCAAGCUCCGUGUCGUGGAGAUGUUUGGUUAAGGC